rnacentral:ncRNA from 1 species
UUAAAGACAUGAUAACAGUUGACUAUAGAAGUAAUUCUAUAAAAAAACAAAAAAGAUGAAUUGCAAGAAACUCUUAUAUAAUAAGACAACUUGCAGCCAAGUCCAAAUAAGUGUAUUAACCCGCCGUCUAGCUAUUCGCAGCGCGGUCAAUCUUUUUAUUUUUUUCAGGGUAAUGUUCCUAAAAAAUAAAAAUAAGAGACGGGCCGGGAGGUAAAUUUGGAAAGGUUCAACGACUAAUUGGUGAGUAAGCACAUACAAUAAUCCAGACAAGAGUUUCUUUUGACCGAACGGUUAAUGACAUAGUCUAAACAGUAAUGUGAAUUGCUG